UACGUAGGGUGCGAGCGUUAAUCGGAAUUACUGGGCGUAAAGCGUGCGCAGGCGGUGAUGUAAGCCAGGUGUGAAAUCCCCGGGCUUAACCUGGGAACUGCAUUUGUGACUGCAUCGCUGGAGUGCGGCAGAGGGGGAUGGAAUUCCGCGUGUAGCAGUGAAAUGCGUAGAUAUGCGGAGGAACACCGAUGGCGAAGGCAAUCCCCUGGGCCUGCACUGACGCUCAUGCACGAAAGCGUGGGGAGCAAACAGG
rnacentral:rRNA from 1 species